UAACUGACGAGGAGUCCCAUAAUAGGACGAAACGGCCGUCCAGUGA
rnacentral:hammerhead_ribozyme from 1 species